GGAGCAGCUUCUGGAGAGACUGCGGGAGACCGCAGCGCCGAAGGGUUCACAAUCUCAGGCAAAAGGACAGAAGAGUACGG
rfam:Paenibacillus sp. FSL R5-0912, complete genome.